rnacentral:misc_RNA from 1 species
UGAGCCUCUCAUCACUAACUUGUAGAGUUGAACUGAAAUUACAAAUAAUAUACAAUUAAAACUCAAUCAGAUAUCUGAAAAUAAAUUUGCUCAACGUUAUAAAAUAGCGCACCGACAACUACAAAACUGUAACUGAAUCGUAGCAUAUUAACCCAGAAAUAAACAAAACGACAAACGACAUGAUCACCGUGCACUACGCCAGACAAGCUACGCUUAAAAUUAAAACCCGAACCGGUAACCCACACCCUUUUUUUAUUAAUCAGCCCUAUCAUAGUAUAUGGAGAAUGAUAUUAUACUCUUGGAUUUGUG